AAAACUUUAAAGUUGCUCGUGGCAGAAAUACGACGAUGUACUGGGAGAAAUCUAGUCAGACAAUAUUCAAGCGUUAGAGAUAUUUUGCUAAUGAUCGUAUUUGUGAAUAACAUCGUGCGACAUGAUGAUCCAUAACAUGUGGAACAAUUGGGCACGGGGUAAUUCUAUGUGAAAAAAUAAGUUGAAAAUAUGGAAUAAAAAGGUUUUCAUACGACGCUUUGUUUCUGAGAAAAUUGCCAUACAUUCGAAAAUAAAUAAAAAUUGCGAAAUAACAUUUUUCCGUCUAAGCCUCCACUUUCAAGCAAAUAAUGUUUCAACAUGUUUGUUUAGUUAAGAAUUGUUCUGUUACACUUUAACGAAUUUUUAAAAUGAAAAGAAUAUAAUAAAAAUAUAAUAAGUAUUCGUACAGUUACCGUUCUAUGCGAUGAAACGUACGUAGAUGCUUUAAAAAAUAAUCUACAUCAAAGUGCAUAAAAAGAAUGGGUUUGACAGACAAUGUUAUCGUGACGUAAGAUAAC